GAUGAACGCUGGCGGCGUGCCUAAUACAUGCAAGUCGAGCGAACAGACGAGGAGCUUGCUCCUCUGACGUUAGCGGUGGACGGGUGAGUAACACGUUGAUAACCUACCUAUAAGACUGGGAUAACUUCGGGAAACCGGAGCUAAUACCGGAUAACAUGUUGAACCGCAUGGUUCAACAGUGAAAGACGGUCUUGCUGUCACUUAUAGAUGGAUCCGCGCCGCAUUAGCUAGUUGGUAAGGUAACGGCUUACCAAGGCAACGAUGCGUAGCCGACCUGAGAGGGUGAUCGGCCACACUGGAACUGAGACACGGUCCAGACUCCUACGGGAGGCAGCAGUAGGGAAUCUUCCGCAAUGGGCGAAAGCCUGACGGAGCAACGCCGCGUGAGUGAAGAAGGUCUUCGGAUCGUAAAACUCUGUUAUUAGGGAAGAACAAAUGUGUAAGUAACUAUGCACGUCUUGACGGUACCUAAUCAGAAGGCCACGGCUAACUACGUGCCAGCCGCCGCCGUAA
rnacentral:rRNA from 1 species